AGUCUUCAUCGCACGCUAUGCCUGGUAAUGCCCAGAACCUCUUUAUGGACCAAAGCACAUCUACAUCAGCCUGCAGUCAGCGCAUGACCAUAGAGCCCAUUCGGACACACCUGAAAAUGCAAACAGGUACCUAGACACUCCUCACUGCUGGAAAGAGGCACAGCCUCCAAGUUUUCCUCCCCUACGGUUGCUGCUACUACCGCCUGAAUACUUGUGUGGAACGUCUCUGAUGACAAAGCAGAGGCAGAAGAAAAAGAAGAGGGGAAAAAAAGAACGAGAACCUCAGGCAUUCAAGAACCACAAGUCUUGUUUCUAAAGAUCAUGGGAUACAAUUUUGGCUGCAUGGAUGUAAAAACCAACAGACAAGCAAACCAGCCCUUCCAUUCCUACCAAUUGAACCCAUGGUUUGGGGGACACUAUUUUUUUAAUCUCACUGCAGAAUGCACAGUGCUGACUUUAAUAUCAAACUAUUCCAAAAUUAUAUUUUAACCUCGAACAACUGCAAGACAUAGAAAGGUAUUUUUAAAGGAAAAAAAAAAAAAAGAAAAAAAAAGAAAAGGGGUAUAAAGAGCACUGUUUGCACUGUAAAUAAAACAUCUGGUUUCAGUUCCCUAACACUCCGGACCUAAUUCUUCCUAAAUGUUGGUAACUCUGAACUCUCUGUAUCCUUGAUGGAUGAGCUGGGCUAACCGCAGUCAAAUGAAGGAAUGGCAUUUUUCAUGCUUCUGGCAGCACGGCAAGUCUUUAAUCUAUUGCUUAAAUGAGUGCUCCCUAUGAAAAAAAAUGCACGAUAAAGGAUGCAAACCCACAAGUAAUGCCAUGCACAGUCUUAAUGCUUUCUGAUGGGAGGAGCCACAGGACAAGCUGAGAAGAGCAUUGACCCCAUGUGCAGUCCUAUGGAGAUUCCAUUUCCUGGCCUGAGCUUCACUUUAUAUUUGAACAAACACAAAGGUCUGCCCCAUUAAUGCUACCAAACAAAAAAGAGGCCUCAACCCAAGUUGUUGGCUUUCUCCAGAUCUAACACACAAAGCUUUGCAUGUUCACGGCGACAAGACCCUCCAUGAAGUUGAGGCCUUCUGCUCCCAAGAGUUUAUUCUCUGCUGGUGCAGAGCACGUUUCAGUUCCAGCUGUAACGAGAUGAGUUUCUUCUGCCUGUUUGUGACCUGACAGAGGCCGUGGUGAGAGGCUGCUCAACAGCUGGUGGGAACAUUUUUCUUCUCAGUGAUAAGUGUAUUUGGACACUUGAUUUAGUAGAGCCAAUAAGGGCCAACUAUGUUAUAUGAGGCAAGUAGGGAAGAGUGUAAAUCCUCCUACUCGCAUGACCAGUUUCAUCCCACAUGCCUAAUUAUUCAGGCAAUCUCCAAAGACUUCUGUGGGCAGCCUUCAUCAUGCAUCUUCUGAGCUCUUAGGCUAAAUGUUUCUUUUACAGCACUCACUGAUGUGGUUAAAAGGCCGAAUCCAAGCCUAUUUUACAAUGUUUGCUUUCUACAUGGGGUGCUUCUGUAUAUAUAUAUAUAUAUAUAUAUUUGAAAUC
rnacentral:lncRNA from 7 species